GACGAACGCUGGCGGCGUGCUUAACACAUGCAAGUCGAACGGUGAAGGUGGGAGCUUGCUCUUGGGUGAUCAGUGGCGAACGGGUGAGUAACACGUGAGUAACCUGCCCCUGACUCUGGAAUAACUUCGGGAAACCGAAGCUAAUACCGGAUAUGACACGAACGGGCAUCCGUAUCGUGUGGAAAGUUUUUCGGUUGGGGAUGGACUCGCGGCCUAUCAGCUUGUUGGUGAGGUAAUGGCUCACCAAGGCGACGACGGGUAGCCGGCCUGAGAGGGCGACCGGCCACACUGGGACUGAGACACGGCCCAGACUCCUACGGGAGGCAGCAGUGGGGAAUAUUGCACAAUGGGCGAAAGCCUGAUGCAGCGACGCCGCGUGAGGGAUGAAGGCCUUCGGGUUGUAAACCUCUUUCAGUAGGGAAGAAGCGCAAGUGACGGUACCUACAGAAGAAGCACCGGCUAACUACGUGCCAGCAGCCGCCGUAACAC
rnacentral:rRNA from 1 species